CGUGUAGGCGGGUGUUUAAGUCAGGGGUGAAAUGCCGAGGCUCAACCUUGGAACUGCCUUUGAUACUGGGCAUCUCGAGUCCGGGAGAGGUGAGUGGAACUGCGAGUGUAGAGGUGAAAUUCGUAGAUAUUCGCAAGAACACCAGUGGCGAAGGCGGCUCACUGGCCCGGAACUGACGCUGAGACGCGAAAGCGUGGGGAGCAAACAGGAUUAGAUACCCUGGUAGUCCACGCUGUAAACGAUGGAUGCUAGCCGUUGGGGAGCUUGCUCUUCAGUGGCGCCGCUAACGCUUUAAGCAUCUCGCCUGGGGAGUACGGUCGCAAGAUUAAA
rnacentral:rRNA from 1 species